rnacentral:rRNA from 1 species
ACGGGUGAGUAAUGUCUGGGGAUCUGCCCGAUAGAGGGGGAUAACCACUGGAAACGGUGGCUAAUACCGCAUAACGUCGCAAGACCAAAGAGGGGGACCUUCGGGCCUCUCACUAUCGGAUGAACCCAGAUGGGAUUAGCUAGUAGGCGGGGUAACGGCCCACCUAGGCGACGAUCCCUAGCUGGUCUGAGAGGAUGACCAGCCACACUGGAACUGAGACACGGUCCAGACUCCUACGGGAGGCAGCAGUGGGGAAUAUUGCACAAUGGGCGCAAGCCUGAUGCAGCCAUGCCGCGUGUAUGAAGAAGGCCUUCGGGUUGUAAAGUACUUUCAGCGGGGAGGAAGGCAGUGAGGUUAAUAACCUUACUGAUUGACGUUACCCGCAGAAGAAGCACCGGCUAACUCCGUGCCAGCAGCCGCGGUAAUACGGAGGGUGCAAGCGUUAAUCGGAAUUACUGGGCGUAAAGCGCACGCAGGCGGUCUGUUAAGUCAGAUGUGAAAUCCCCGGGCUUAACCUGGGAACUGCAUUUGAAACUGGCAGGCUUGAGUCUCGUAGAGGGGGGUAGAAUUCCAGGUGUGGC